UACGGAGGGGGCUAGCGUUGUUCGGAAUUACUGGGCGUAAAGCGCGCGUAGGCGGACCUGCAAGUCGGGGGUGAAAGCCCGAGGCUCAACCUCGGAACUGCCUUCGAUACUGCGGGUCUCGAGUCCGGGAGAGGUGAGUGGAAUUCCUAGUGUAGCGGUGAAAUGCGUAGAUAUCGUAAGGAAGACCAGUGGCGAAGGCGGGUCUCUGGACAGUUCCUGACGCUGAGGCACGAAGGCCAGGGGAGCAAACGGG
rnacentral:rRNA from 1 species